GCAAGUCGAACGAGGAAUUUUAAUAGCUUGCUAAUGAAAUUCCUAGUGGCGGACGGGUUAGUAACACGUGAGAAUCCUACCCUUAAGUGGGGAAUAGCCUUUCGAAAGGAAGAUUAAUGCCCCAUGGUCUCUACGGAGUAAAGAUGCCUUCGGGUGUCGCUUAAGGAUGGGCUCGCGGCCUAUCAGCUAGUUGGUGAGGUAACUGCUCACCAAGGCAACGACGGGUAGCUGGUCUGAGAGGACGAUC
rnacentral:rRNA from 1 species